rfam:Trichosporon asahii var. asahii CBS 8904 unplaced genomic scaffold scaffold00193, whole genome shotgun sequence.
GGCGAAGUGGCCGAGUGGUCUAAGGCGCUAGAUCCAGGCGAAUCUGGAACACAAUCUGCGAAGCUCCCUCGGGCUCCCAGCAGGUCUCUCUAGUCUUCGGGCGUGGGUUCGAAUCCCACCUUCGUCA